rnacentral:lncRNA from 1 species
GAAUGGCUAUUCCAUUCCCUUGCAAUCCAUUUUGUAUAACCCUAACAUUGGAAUGGGAAUGUCAAUUCUGAUUCCUUGGUUUUCAUUCCUAAUCCAUUUUGGUUCCAAUUAAUUCUGAUUUUUCUCAUUCUUGUUGACCAAAUAUACCAAGUGUCGGAAUUGGGUCAAACAUGGAAUCUCUAUUCCAUUAUAGCCUCCGUCCC